rfam:Salmo salar isolate Sally breed double haploid chromosome ssa02, whole genome shotgun sequence.
UCCCAUGUGGCUCAGUUGGUAGAGCAUGGUGUUUGCAACGCCAGGGUUAUGGGUUCGAUUCCCACGGGGGAC